AAAGAUUUAAUGGUCGAACAGACCAAAAAUUUAAACAACUACACCUAAACUAAUCUUUAAUCCAACAUCGAGGUCGCAAACUCUUUUAUCGAUAUGAACUCUCUAAAAAAAUUACG
rnacentral:rRNA from 1 species